UGGGGAAUAUUGGACAAUGGGCGAAAGCCUGAUCCAGCCAUGCCGCGUGAGUGAUGAAGGCCUUAGGGUUGUAAAGCUCUUUUAGCAGGGAAGAUAAUGACGGUACCUGCAGAAAAAGCCCCGGCUAACUUCGUGCCAGCAGCCGCGGUAAUACGAAGGGGGCUAGCGUUGCUCGGAAUUACUGGGCGUAAAGCGCACGCAGGCGGACCCUUAAGUCGGUGGUGAAAUCCUGGAGCUCAACUCCAGAACUGCCUUCGAUACUGGGAGUCUUGAGUUCGGGAGAGGUGAGUGGAACUGCGAGUGUAGAGGUGAAAUUCGUAGAUAUUCGCAAGAACACCUGAGGCGAAGGCGGGUUGCUGGGCCGACACUGACGCUGAUGCGCGAAAGCCAGGGGAGCAAACG
rnacentral:rRNA from 1 species